rnacentral:rRNA from 1 species
GGGAAGGAUCAUUAAUGAAUUUAAUGUGGAGUUGGUUGUAGCUGGCCCAAUGGAUUUUUUAAAUUAAUUUCCCUGGGCAWGGUSCCCCCUUUUCCUUUAUUCAACCCCCCCUGGGCCCCCGKKAAGGCRAAKUGGGGGAAUUKGUUGGACCCCCUCCGGCYUCCUUAAUUMCCCCAACCCCAUUUUAUAAUAAAACAAAGGWAAUGAAGGWACCCCUUUUAAACCUAAUUUCCACCACCGAAUUUUUGGGUUUUGCCAUGGAKAAAAAAGCCACCAAAWGGCAAUAAUUAUGGUUAAAUGCMAAAAUCAUGGAAUUCAUGAAUYCUUUAACCCCCCCUUCCGCUCCUGGKAWUCCCUGGAACCUGGCCGGUUUAAUUWYCUGGAAUCCUUAAAAGCCAUCCUUUUGUUAAUUCAAUUGGUUGUGCUUUGGUAUUGGAGGUCUUUGCAGCUUCACACCUGCUCCUCUUUGUACAUUAGCUGGAUCUCAGUGUUAUGCUUGGUUCCACUCGGCGUGAUAAGUUAUCUAUCGCUGAGGACACUGUAAAAAGGUGGCCAAGGUAAAUGCAGAUGAACCCCUUCCAACAGUCCAUUUGCUUGGACAAUAUUUUUAUGAUCUGAUCUCAAAUCAGGUAGGACUACCCCCUGAACUUAAGCAUAUCAAUAAGCGGAGGAA